rnacentral:lncRNA from 1 species
AUAGCAAAGGCCACCAACUGGAUAAGCACGUGCUGGGCCCCCAGAAGACGUGUCCUGGGGAAGAAGAAACCAAACGCAUGUCCCAUGACUCAAUGAACAUGCUUGUCCAGCUCAUCUGGAAACCUGCUGCCUUCAAAUACCAUCUCAUCGUUUCAACACAAUAUGAUGACAGUGCACCCCACAGAGUGGGGGACUGCACACAAGGCAUUCUGAAACUUAAAUCCAGACCAUGGAAACUCCCUGGGGUUGGAUCUGGACACACCUGGAAAUAGAUGACCACUGCAAAGACAAAGAUGGUGGCGAUGAGAUUCAUGAGGUUGGGAAGAUUCUGGCGGUAGAACGCCUCCCGAAGGGCUCGGACCUUGUCUGUGCGUGUGGCCAGCAGAUGGAAAAGUGCGAUGAUAGCACCUUCAAAUUCCAU